GGGGUGGGUUUUAGUUGAAAUUACAAAAACAUACAUGAAUUUCAGUAGGACUCAUACACUCACAUUUGUGUGUACACAUGCUCGUAAGCAGCUGAUAAAUUUUUUGAUGACAUAUUAUUUUUUUAUAUGCAAAUGGCAACAUUUUGGCCAAAGAAACUAAAAAAAUCAUCCUUGCCAAACCACCGAAAGAACGAUUUUCGGAAAUUUUUCCAUAAAAAAGAAGGUAGUACCAGCCUUUACCCUGAAAUUGGCUUCCCCUGGCUACGUCCCUGAUUUCAGCUACUGCUUCCGAUGUCCGACCCUUAAUAUCGAUGUUGUACCCAUAGACAAGCAGAAUGUGUUAUUUUGUGAAUAUUGUGCUAUGCUGUUUCACACCUGCAUAUUGUAUAGGGGUCGAUUAUGAAUGGUCGCGCAAUCAUAAUUACGUUGCCAGCAGUUUCUCAAGCUCAAACAUAGAAUAUCCAUCUAAAAUUCUUCAAACAUUCUAAGCGAAUUUUAAUCUGAUCAGGAAGUUGACUGGGGCACUGCUCAAUGGGGGAUACUUCCCAAUUUUCUUGCACACAUGGAUUCGUACAUGCAGUUGUGGUCAAAAUAAUAGCAGCGCAGCAAAAUAUAAAUAU